rnacentral:rRNA from 1 species
ACCUGGUUGAUCCUGCCAGUAGUCAUAUGCUUGUCUCAAAGAUUAAGCCAUGCAUGUCUAAGUACAUACCGUAUUAAGGUGAAACCGCGAAUGGCUCAUUAAAUCAGUUAUGAUUCAUUGGAUGUUGACCAAUUACAUGGAUAACUGUGGUAAUUCUAGAGCUAAUACAUGCCGAAAAGCCUCAUCGUAAGGUGAGGUGCAUUUAUUAGACCAAGACCAAAGGUGGCAACACCUAAUGGUGGUGACUCUGAAUAACUGCAGCUGAUCGCAUGGCCUUGUGCCGGCGACAUAUCCUUCGAGUGUCUGCCUUAUCAACUUUCGAUGGUAGGUUAUAUGCCUACCAUGGUUGUAACGGGUAACGGAGAAUCAGGGUUCGAUUCCGGAGAGGCAGCCUGAGAGACGGCUACCACAUCCAAGGAAGGCAGCAGGCGCGCAAAUUACCCAAUAUCAGAACGAUGAGGUAGUGACGAAAAAUAACAAUACGGGCUUCGCUUACGCGUUCUCGUAAUUGGAAUGAGUACAGUUUAAAUCCUUUAACGAGGAUCAAUUGGAGGGCAAGUCUGGUGCCAGCAGCCGCGGUAAUUCCAGCUCCAAUAGCGUAUAUUAAAGUUGUUGUGGUUAAAAAGCUCGUAGUUGGAUCUCAGCUCAUGUACAGCGGUCCAUCUUGUCGGUGGUUACUGUUGUACUGAGCAUUAUACCGUAUUGUCCUGUGGUGUUCUUAGCUGAGUGCUGCAGGCGAUCGGUACGUUUACUUUGAAAAAAUUAGAGUGCUCAAAGCAGGCAUUAUCGCCUGAAUACUGUUGCAUGGAAUAAUGGAAUAGGACCUUGGUUCUGUUCUGUUGGUCUUUGGAAUCGAGGUAAUGAUUAACAGGGACGGACGGGGACAUUAGUACUGCGGCGAUAGAGGUGAAAUUCUUGGACCGCCGCAUGACUAACAAAAGCGAAAGCAUUUGUCAAGAAUGUUUUCAUUAAUCAAGAACGAAAGUUAGAGGUUCGAAGGCGAUCAGAUACCGCCCUAGUUCUAACCAUAAACGAUGCCAACCAGCAAUCAGCCAGAGUUUGUUUAAAGACUCGGCUGGCGACUUCCGGGAAACCAAAGUGUUUCGGUUCCAGGGGAAGUAUGGUUGCAAAGCUGAAACUUAAAGGAAUUGACGGAAGGGCACCACCAGGAGUGGAGCCUGCGGCUUAAUUUGACUCAACACGGUAAAACUAACCCGGUCCGCACAGUGUAAUGAUUGACAUAUAAAUAGCUCUUGCUCGAUUCCGUGGGUGGUGGUGCAUGGCCGUUCUUAGUUGGUGGAGCGAUUUGUCUGGUUAAUUCCGAUAACGAACGAGACUCUAGCCUACUAAAUAGUGCCUGGCGUCGUUAGCCGCCAGGGUGCUUCUUAGAGGGACAAACGGCGUUUCAGCCGUAUGAAAAAGAGCAAUAACAGGUCUGUGAUGCCCUUAGAUGUCCGGGGCCGCACGCGCGCUACACUGAAAAAAUCAGCGUGCAUCAGUAUCCUACCCGGAAACGGGCGGGAAACCGAGUGAAACUUUUUCGUGAUUGGGAUUGGGGAUUGUAAUUAUUGUCCAUGAACGAGGAAUUCCCAGUAAGCACAAGUCAUCAGCUUGUGUUGAUUACGUCCCUGCCCUUUGUACACACCGCCCGUCGCUACUACCGAUUGGAUGUUUUAGUGAGGUCUUUGGACUUGCCAUCGUGGCUAUCCUCGUGGUAGCUACGAUGUGCGGGAAAGAUGACCAAACUUGAAUAUCUAGAGGAAGUAAAAGUCGUAACAAGGUUUCCGUAGGUGAACCUGCGGAAGGAUCAUU